rnacentral:rRNA from 1 species
UGAAGCUGGAAUCGCUAGUAAUCGCGGAUCAGAAUGCCGCGGUGAAUACGUUCCCGGGUCUUGUACACACCGCCCGUCACACCAUGGGAGUCGGAAAUGCCCGAAGUCGGUGACCUAACUGAAAGGAAGGAGCCGCCGAAGGCAGGUCUGGUGACUGGGUGAAGUCGUAACAAGGUAUC